CAAUAGCGUAUAUUAAAGUUGUUGCGGUUAAAAAGCUCGUAGUUGGAUUUCUGCCGAGGACGACCGGUCCGCCCUCUGGGUGAGUAUCUGGCUCGGCCUGGGCAUCUUCUUGGAGAACGUAGCUGCACUUGACUGUGUGGUGCGGUAUCCAGGACUUUUACUUUGAGGAAAUUAGAGUGUUUCAAGCAGGCUUACGCCUUGAAUACAUUAGCAUGGAAUAAUAAGAUAGGACCUCGGUUCUAUUUUGUUGGUUUCUAGAGCUGAGGUAAUGAUUAAUAGGGAUAGUUGGGGGCAUUCGUAUUUAACUGUCAGAGGUGAAAUUCUUGGAUUUGUUAAAGACGGACCACUGCGAAAGCAUUUGCCAAGGAUGUUUUCAUUGA
rnacentral:rRNA from 1 species